rnacentral:lncRNA from 1 species
GUGUGUGUGUGAUGAUUUCUAAGCAAACAAACAGAACUGAAAUAAAAAUGAUACAGUGAGAACAUGGAUCUCAUGACCAUUCCAGCUAAGAUGUAGUAUAUACAUAUGCGUGUGUGAUGACUUCUAAGCAAACAAACAGAACUGAAAUAAAAACGAUACUGUAAGAACAUGGAUCUCAUGACCAUUCCAGCUAAGAUGUAGUAUAUAGAUUAUACUGAUGAUAUCAUGGGUUUGAUUACCAUGAAAAAAUAUGAUACUAGACAUGUCUCAUUAGUGUAUUUUUAUGAAACCAGACAUAUAACUCAGUGACACAAAAAAAGAGUGGAAAUGAAAAGGGGAGUAGGAACUGGGGUCAGAAAGAUGGAGCAUUCGUAGCCAUACAAGAUUUAGCCCAACUUUUCAGUAUCAGCAGAGAGAAUGAAAAUCCGUUUAAUAACUAUUAAGUACUUGGAGCACCUAAGAGGUGUAUAUAACAUAUAAAUUUGCAUGAACUUAUAUAUAAUCCAACCAAUAAAUUUAGAUGAAACAUGAUGGUGCAAAAAUGGGCUCAGAUGGUUUAAUAAAAGAAGUUAUGAUCUAAUGAUAUGCAUGUCAUAUUAAUCUCAGUGUGCAAUACAUGUGGCUGAAAUCCAUACUUAUUGUCUCAUUCAAAAGAAUUCAAAUGAAUAUCUGUUCUCACCUCAUUGAGCUAAUAACUAAACUAUAACGUCUACAAGGCACAGAUGAUAUAGCAAGUUAUAUUCCAUGAAAUGCAUGACUGCAAUAUAAAACUAUGUGCAUAUGAAUGUCGGUAUAUCUAACAAUGGUAGUGUGUUGCUCUGUCACUGGGAGUGCAUUCAACUAUGGCCUUCUAUUUAUAUAACAACAUCAUCGAGCAGGUGUGGUUCGGGAC